rnacentral:lncRNA from 1 species
AGCAUGUUCAUAUAGAACAUAAUAUGUCAACUCAAUCCCUAUUGUAGUACAAUAGUCUUUAAAAAACUUUGAUGCAAAUUCUUUUGCAUUAUCCAUACACAAUAUUUUGAUAGGAUAAUCAAAAAAAUAUGCUAAAAUAUGAAUAAGUAUAGAUAUAAGAUUGGCAAAUACCAUGCUUUGGAUUGAUAAUUAUAAAACAUGUGAUUGUUUGCCUGAUGCAUCAACAAGGACCAAAAAAUAAUGAAAUGGUCCAAAUAUUGGAUUAAUAGGACCACAAAUAUCAUUGUGCACCAUUUUAAGUAUUAGUGGUAACUCUCAUUUGAAAUUGAAGGCUAAGCAAUCAUCUUGAGAAAUGCGACUUCAUAUGAUAGAUGAUAUAAACUUAAGUAUAAUGAGAGCCCAAAUUACAAUCCAAUAUAAACCAUUUAUUAUAGCAAAGGCUUUUUCAACAACUUCAUGAUUCUAUUGAAGAACCAAAUCAUCUAGCCUAUCUAAAAUUGUGAUUGAGAGG